AGAGUUUGAUCCUGGCUCAGGACGAACGCUGGCGGCGUGCCUAAUACAUGCAAGUCGAGCGGACAGAUGGGAGCUUGCUCCCUGAUGUUAGCGGCGGACGGGCGAGUAACACGUGGGUAACCUGCCUGUAAGACUGGGAUAACUCCGGGAAACCGGGGCUAAUACCGGAUGGUUGUUUGAACCGCAUGGUUCAAACAUAAAAGGUGGCUUCGGCUACCACUUACAGAUGGACCCGCGGCGCAUUAGCUAGUUGGUGAGGUAACGGCUCACCAAGGCGACGAUGCGUAGCCGACCUGAGAGGGUGAUCGGCCACACUGGGACUGAGACACGGCCCAGACUCCUACGGGAGGCAGCAGUAGGGAAUCUUCCGCAAUGGACGAAAGUCUGACGGAGCGACGCCGCGUGAGUGAUGAAGGUUUUCGGAUCGUAAAGCUCUGUUGUUAGGGAAGAACAAGUGCCGUUCGAAUAGGGCGGUACCUUGACGGUACCUAACCAGAAAGCCACGGCUAACUACGUGCCAGCAGCCGCGGUAAUACGUAGGUGGCAAGCGUUGUCCGGAAUUAUUGGGCGUAAAGGGCUCGCAGGCGGUUUCUUAAGUCUGAUGUGAAAGCCCCCGGCUCAACCGGGGAGGGUCAUUGGAAACUGGGGAACUUGAGUGCAGAAGAGGAGAGUGGAAUUCCACGUGUAGCGGUGAAAUGCGUAGAGACGUGGAGGAACACCAGUGGCGAAGGCGACUCUCUGGUCUGUAACUGACGCUGAGGAGCGAAAGCGUGGGGAGCGAACAGGAUUAGAUACCCUGGUAGUCCACGCCGUAAACGAUGAGUGCUAAGUGUUAGGGGGUUUCCGCCCCUUAGUGCUGCAGCUAACGCAUUAAGCACUCCGCCUGGGGAGUACGGUCGCAAGACUGAAACUCAAAGGAAUUGACGGGGGCCCGCACAAGCGGUGGAGCAUGUGGUUUAAAUCGAAGCAACGCGAAGAACCUUACCAGGUCUUGACAUCCUCUGACAAUCCUAGAGAUAGGACGUCCCCUUCGGGGGCAGAGUGACAGGUGGUGCAUGGUUGUCGUCAGCUCGUGUCGUGAGAUGUUGGGUUAAGUCCCGCAACGAGCGCAACCCUUGAUCUUAGUUGCCAGCAUUCAGUUGGGCACUCUAAGGUGACUGCCGGUGACAAACCGGAGGAAGGUGGGGAUGACGUCAAAUCAUCAUGCCCCUUAUGACCUGGGCUACACACGUGCUACAAUGGACAGAACAAAGGGCAGCGAAACCGCGAGGUUAAGCCAAUCCCACAAAUCUGUUCUCAGUUCGGAUCGCAGUCUGCAACUCGACUGCGUGAAGCUGGAAUCGCUAGUAAUCGCGGAUCAGCAUGCCGCGGUGAAUACGUUCCCGGGCCUUGUACACACCGCCCGUCACACCACGAGAGUUUGUAACACCCGAAGUCGGUGAGGUAACCUUUUAGGAGCCAGCCGCCGAAGGUGGGACAGAUGAUUGGGGUGAAGUCGUAACAAGGUA
rnacentral:rRNA from 1 species